rnacentral:rRNA from 1 species
CCUACGGGCGGCUGCAGUGGGGAAUAUUGCACAAUGGGGGAAACCUUGAUGCAGCAACGCAGCGUGAAGGAUGACGGUUUUCGGAUUGUAAACUUCUGUUCUUAGUGAAGAAUAAUGACGGUAGCUAAGGAGUAAGCCACGGCUAACUCAGUGCCAGCAGCCGCGGUAAGCCGUAGGUGGCAAGCGUUGUCCGGAAUUACUGGGGGUAAAGGGUGCGCAGGCGGGAAGCUAAGGCAGCUGUGAAAACGACGGGUAUAAAUUGUAGACUGCAGUUGAAACUGGUUUUCUAGAGUGAAGUAGAGGUUAGCGGAAUGCCAAGUGUAGCGGUGAAAUGCGUAGAUAUACGGAAGAACACCAAUGGCGAAGGCAGCCAACUGGGCUUAUACUGACGCUGAGGGUCGAAAGUGUGGGGAGCAAACAGGAUUAGAUACCCUAGUAGUC